rnacentral:misc_RNA from 1 species
GAUGAAGAACGUAGCGAAAUGCGAUACGUAAUGUGAAUUGCAGAAUUCAGUGAAUCAUCGAAUCUUUGAACGCAUAUUGCGCUCUCUGGUAUUCCGGAGAGCAUGCUUGUUUGAGUAUCAGUAAACACCUCAACUUCCAUAUCUUUUUUGAAAUGGGAGUUGGACUUGAGUGAUCCCUACGCUUUUCCUCACCGAAAAGUGGCGGGUUACUUGAAAUGCAGGUGCAGCUGGACUUUUCUCUGAGCUAUAAGCAUAUCUAUUUAGUCUGCCUAAAAAACAGAUUAUUACCUUUGCUGCAGCUAACAUAAAGGAGAUUAGUUCUUGUGCUGACUGAUGCAGGAUUCACAAAGACAGGCUUCGGCCGACUUUGUAAACUCGAUCUCAAAUCAAGUAAGACUACCCGCUGAACUUAAGCAUAUCAAUAAGCGGAGGA